GGGAAGCCGGUGAGGCUCCAAGGCCGAGACCGGCACGGUCGCGCCACUGUGAGUGGGGAGCGCCGUCCCGUACCGCGAAUCGCGGCGCCACUGUCCACCGACGCGCACGGCGUGUCGGAGAUGGGAAGGCGAGGACGACGUGCUGAUCCACGAGUCAGGAGACC
rnacentral:ncRNA from 2 species